rnacentral:tRNA from 1 species
UAUGGGAUGGAGUAGAGGUGUCUCGUUAGGCUCAUAACCUAAAGGUCGCAGGUUCGAAUCCUGCUCCCGUUG